AUGGGAGAGGCUCCAAAAUCCACCCAAAUCAUCGAUCUCCAGCCCCCCGGGGGGUCCCUGCGCCUCCUCUGCCGCGCCUCGGGGUUCACUUUCGGGAAUUAUGGAAUGCUCUGGAUCCGCCAGAGAUCCGGGCAGGGGCUGGAAUUCGUCGCGGGGAUCUGGAGUGAUGGCAGCACCGUGUACGCGCCGUCGGUGAAGGGCCGGGCGACGAUCUCCAGGGACAACGGGCAGAGCUCGGUGACGCUGACCAUGAACGGCCUCAAGGACGAGGAUUCCGGCUCCUGUUUCUGCGCCAAAGCUGCUGCUGCUGGUUUUUGGCGUGAUGAUCCCCUUCCCCCCAGCCUCAGCCCCUGA